UACGCAGGUGGCGAGCGUUGUCCGGAUUUACUGGGUGUAAAGGGCGUGUAGGCGGGGAAACAAGUCAGAUGUGAAAUCCCGGGGCUUAACUCCGGAGCUGCAUCUGAAACUGUUUUUCUUGAGUUCUGGAGAGGAAAGUGGAAUUCCCAGUGUAGCGGUGAAAUGCGUAGAGAUUGGGAGGAACACCAGUGGCGAAGGCGGCUUUCUGGACAGUAAUUGACGCUGAGGCGCGAAAGCGUGGGGAGCAAACAGG
rnacentral:rRNA from 1 species